rnacentral:misc_RNA from 1 species
AAGGGAAGUCGGCAAAACC